rnacentral:ncRNA from 1 species
UACCCUACUGAUGAAUUUUAUUAUUAUAUUAUAAAUAUAUAAUGUAUUGUGACAGUAAUUCAACUUGGUACGAGAGGAUUAGUUGGUUCAGACAUAUGGUACAGCGAUUGGUUGACCAACCAUUGUCGCGAAGCUACGUCUGUUGGAUAAUGACUGAACGCCUCUUAAGUCAGAACCCAUGCUGAUUAAACGAUACUAUUGGUUCUUUUUUGCCCACUUUUGCAAUAUUGUAAAAGAAAAAAAAUAUGUACUCAUACUAGCAAGUUUUGUAUGAAUGCAACUAUUUCCAUGGCCCAUUAGGAUCUGGUAUUCUUUUGGGUAUUACUAAUUUAACAACGAAAAAGACAAACACAAAUUGUAGACGACUUUUAUAUCUUAAGGUGCUGUAAACAUGAAAGUAAACCUUGUUUUACGAUCUGUUGAGGCUCAUCCUUUAUGAUAAAGUGUUA